rnacentral:lncRNA from 1 species
UGCCACUACAACUAUUUUAAGCAGAAAGUAGGUUUAAAGCUAAACUAUUUUUAUUUCUUGUAUUUUAGAAUUUAGUUUAUACAUUAAAUUUAAAGCACUUGAACUUGCUAAAAUGAAGUAAAUUAAUUUUACAGCUAUAUCAUUAUUAUUUCUAAGUCCAUCCAUUCAGUCUUCUGAGUGGGUUAAUGAUAUAAAUGUAAUCUAGUAGCAUGAAUAAGAUUGGACAAUCCCCACAAAGAAGACUGAGCAAAAAGUUCAUGAUGCCUGAUCACUAAAAUUCCAGAGAGCAUUAGACUACUAAAUUUAAAAAUUUUCAAUAAGUAUUAAGAAUAAAAAUAAAAUGAUUUAUUAAUAAAGUAUUAUUUAUUUUAAAAUUAUUUACUUAAUUGAUUUAUUUUAAAAACUGUGGAAGUAAUAAGUAUUUAUUUUAUCAUACACAAACAUUGCAGGAGCACACAGAAUAGGAAGCAAACAUUCCCUAUCCCACAUAGUAAAUAUGCUUGAACAUGAAUGUUGGCACUUGGUAUGUAUAAUUCUGUAGGAAACAGCUUGAGGCAGAGAUAGCUGGCUGUUCCUAAUAUUUUUCCCCCUUUUCUACUCUUUUAGAACUUUUAGUGGGGCAUAUAGUUGUCCAGAAUGAAGACUUCAUUUCCCAGCCUGCUUUGUUUCUUUUUAUGGCCACAUAACUAAAUUAUGGACAGUGGAUUGCUAACGGAAGUAUUUUGUACCAAUUUCGAGAAACAUUUUUUUUCAGAGACAAAUGGCACGUGCACGCUGCUCCUCUUUUCUUCAUUUGUUCCUCUGUCCUGCUGCCUGAAAUAACGAUUGCAGGAAUACGUUAGG